GGAGAUUUAGCUCAGCGGCUUGAGCGCCUGCCUUGCAAGCAGGCAGUCGUGAGUUUGAUCCCCA
rnacentral:tRNA from 1 species